ensembl:lncRNA
ACAGGUCCAUCAUGCACUGCGCAGUCGGAUCUACUGAUUGAUUGGUGACAUCCAUCAGCGGAUCCCGUGUGUCUCCAGCAUUUUAUGAAUGUGGGAUCUCUAGCUGGAGAGACGAAAUGGCUUCAAGUGGGAGGCCGUUGGCGGACCUGUUGCGCGAUGUGGCUGACCAGCUCGAAAGAACAUCGGGUGGUUCAUCAAAUUCAUCACCUCAGCCGCCAGAUAGGCCUAAUGUUAACGUUACACCCACCGUUACACCCAGACACCCAGUGGACGGUAUUCAGACAAAUCCAGAGGAGUUCAGAGAAUUCCUUUUAGCGGCAUAUCCUAAGCUCAGACAGGGGGGAGGAUUUGAACUGCUAAAAAUAUCUGGAACAACUCGGAGUCGUGAACUGGUCCUCAUCCCCUGUCCCAGUGAUGGCUACCAUGUCCGAUAUCUAAAGGAACCACAAACUCAGAUUGGUCAUGCAACAAUUUUUAUCCGACCACUUCAGAGGAAUCUGAAUCUGGAUCCUAUAUGUGGACCAGAAUGCAGCAGUGAGCUGGUUGGGCCAGUCCAGAAAUGUGUGACUUGUGGAGAAGAAUUCUCUUUUUCAAGUAUUAAGGCUCAUAGUGAUGAAUGCAUGAGGUACGUAUCAGUUUAUGCAUAUUGCAUGUGUAGACAGACAUCAGACAAGGGGCACGUGGUCCACCAUCAGCCAACAGUUGAAGAGCAUCAUGUGUGUUUGUGUGUGGAUGUUGAAUCAACCUUGUAG